CUCUAAUAAAACUACCAGGUUACAUCAGCAUAUAUCACAGUAACUCAAGUUAGACAUUAUGAUGUUCUGGACCUUUGCUGACUGGACCUCUCUGAAUUUUAGCUGAAUACCCCUGGCUUAGCAGAAGAGGGACAUGAGUCUACAACUGUCAGGGUCCUCUCCUCAUUCCCUCCCCACCUGGCAUCCCAAACAAAACCCCCUCCCUUAUCCUUUUCCUCCCUGUCUUGCCUCCUGUCUCCCAUCCAUCCCUUUUCCUCUGCUUUCCCUCACAGCACUGCACCUGAGUGGAGUUCGGCUUCACAGCCGUCUCCACUCAGGUAAUCAACCUCCUCCACGAGUCCCGGGCAGCUGGAAGAAAUCAUCCUGAUUACUCACCAAGCAAUAAGUACCGGCUCAACACUCCACACCCUGCCAGAUUGUUGAAAUAGACUGCUACCCAGCUGCCCGGGAACUUACCCACCCGAAACCCUCACCUGAACCCCCCAACCCAUUCGGCACCGGUCUCCUCCCCACUCGGAUCCCCCAUUCCGCCCGGACCCCCUCCUGGAAUCCCCGACCCAUUUCCUUCCCGGCCGCUGGAGCUGCAGCAGUCAACCGACUGCUCCCUGCCUCCCGGAGCUCGUCCCGGAACAUCGCCUGCGAGACGCCGUCUCUGCCCGGCCAGUCUAACACCUCGGCCCCCCGGAUCGUCAGAGUGCUACGUCUCGUUCCCUCCGAACCCCCCCUCCUCCAUCGAACUCUGAGCCCUUUGACGUCUGGCCGCCAGGGAUCCCCCACAGCCAUCUGCGACGCUCCGGUCCCGCCCGGACCUUGGACAACCGCCGAUCCCCGUCCCCAGACCCACCCGGCCACAUCCUCCCUCCACCAGCAUCCCUGUUCCUGCAUCCCGGUCUCUGCACUCCAGCCAUAUCCACCCCUGUACAAUAAAACCCUUUUUCAACUUCUCCGGUUCUGGUAUAGUGGCUCUCGGCUCGGGUCUGCCUAGCUAACACGUGACAACAUCUUUUAAUGACCCAACAUCAGUCAGUGGAGAAAAAGAAAGCAAAGCUAAAUGAAACUAUUUCAGUGUUUUAAUAAGCCUGUUGCUUGUCCUGUGAAUACUGCCGCUUUAGGGAACACUACAGCUGGAGCUAAGGUUAACGUUCAGGAAAGGGAGCCUGAUGAAGAGGAAACAUCAGCUCUACCUGAUGGCAGGAGGAGGAGCUGCUGACGCUAUAAUGUCUAUAAGUAUCUGAUUGGUAGUUUGAAAUAAAGGAGCUGCUGUGUGUGUGUGUGUACGCGUGGACGUGUGAGUGCACGCGCACAUAUGAGAACCUGA